GAAAGGACAAGAGAAAUAAGGCCCACUUAAAAUAAGCGCCUUAAUAACUAAUAGAUGAUAUAAUCUUAAUCUACAAAUAUAUACAUAUUAAACCCAGCCCAAAAACAGGGUUC
rnacentral:rRNA from 1 species